UCAUCACCUUCCACCCUCCACGCACCCUACCGGCACCUCCAGAUAGGCGCUAUGGUAUUUUUAUCGUUGCUGUGCGUCUUGCCCUUCCCUUUUUUUCAGCGUUGUGCUCUCUGAGUGUGCGCUUGUCUCACAGUGGGCGCCUUGUGUGCCAGCACCCUCCCCCCCCCCCGGGCGCGACUGGCCGGAUUCGCGAGCGGCAGCUGGUUUGCCUGCUGAGUGCUAUGCCGCUUCGCUUGUGUGCAUUCGUGAGGGGAAAAAAAGCACAUAUCAUUGCACCCUACGCCGCACCUCGCGGGAACUCUGCGUCGCCGCCGCCGGAAAGCCGUACACCUCCGCUUCGAAAGGGCAGCGUCAUGGCCUACAGGUCUGUCGCUCCCUCCUCACAGCUUCGUGCCUUAGCCCGUCAGGCAGCGGUGCCGCAUUUGCCAACGGUGGCACACACGGUCAUGCGCGUGCAGCGUCGCUUUCGGGCGUCAUUUUCAUCGAAGCACUCCCCACAUGCCGACUCCACGGCUGCUGUGUGCGACGAGGACAGCACCGACGAUUGGUCCAGUAUUGAAGUUGAGGUGCUGAUGCCGGAGCCGGAGGUGGCUGCCUCUGGAAACACCACGACGACAUCCACGGCCGACGACGCAGCGACCUCCGGUCGCUCUUCGUUUGCCUCUCCAACGAGCAGUAGCAGAGCGUACACGUCGGUGGAGACGAUUGAUGCCAUCGAUUCGUACGCCAAGGCGAAGGUGGGCAAUUUUGUGCGGCGCUGUUUGCAGCCAUCGGCGUCUGGUGCCGACGACGCCGCUCCCUCAUCUUCUUCUGUGGGCUUGGAGGUGCGGCAGGUGCAGGGAUGCGGCAAGGCGACGCAGUACCACGCUCGCUGGCGGCUGCCACUGCCGGCGGAGUUCGGCGAGCGCUACGGAGAGGGGUUUGCACCGACGCCCAAGGAGGCUGAGGCAGUGGCUGCCAUGCAUGCCGAGCGUGUCAUCGACGCACUGGGCUUUCAGCUGUUUCAACUUUCGUCAAAGCAGCGCAAGCACGCGGAGGCAGCGAGGGCAGCAGGUCGGUGGGCCCCGAUGCCCACGGCCACCACCACCACCACCGCGUCUUCGAGUGGUGCGCCCAUCACGACUGCGGAGGUGGUGCCGCCACCUGACACACCGUCGCCGCCGCCGCUGCAGCUGCUGGGAUUGUCCGCUCAACAGCGGCAGGAGAAGGAGCUACGAAUCGACCGCGUCCAGUUCGCCCCGGUGCAGCGCGGCGGGUUCACUCCUCUUGCCUUCACAUUAGCAUCUCCUCAAUACUUUGACUCAAGCAGCCACAGCCGCAUCGAGCGCUUCUUUCGGGUUCACCGAACUUCAUUCAGGGCAAACCUGCGCCUCGUAUUGCUGAAAAGCGGCGGCCACGGCACCACCAAAGGAGACGGCGUCGGCGAAGGUGUGGACGCGCGCCAGCACGCGAGUACUCCAGGAGGCCUCUUCCUCGCUCAGCUCAUCCUUCCCUUGCCUGCACGUUUUGGAAAGCGCAUCGCCAUGGGAAAGGCACCCACUCGCAAAGAGGCUGUGCUGCUUGCCUGCAUGCACGCAGAGCUCAUCAUCGAUGCCGUGGGCUUUGCCCUUUACCCUGAAAACCGUGAAAAGCAGGCCGCCCAUGCCGUGGAGUGCGCGAAGAUGCGUCGCUGGUGCCCGCAACCGGGAGACUGUGCAUACCGGUAUACCGCUCCUUCCCCGCCACCGAUGGAGCUUGUGGAGGAGCUUUAUCCGUCAACGGUUGCAGCAGCUACAGUGGUGACCUCCGAGCCGGACAGCGCCGUUGCCGGGGCCCUGCUCCACACGGGUGCGACAAACAAAACGGCCCACGCUUGCGGAGACGGAGGGAGCUCCGGCGUCUCUCCUUCACCGAGGCUGCUUGCAGACGCUCAGGCCGGCAGCGCGCCGUCCCCUGUAGAGUCGAUGUUACUACAGCAUCAGCAAGCCGUGUUGGCGGUGCGCUAUUUCAUAGACGAGCCGUCGCUGCGCGACUUUGAGCCAGCGCGGCUACUGCUGGAGCGCUAUGUGAAGCAGUUCGUCUCGCGGUUCGCCGCGCACGCCGAGAGCACCACCUGCUUAUCAGCCGCCUCCCUAACCGACUCUUCGUUGACGGAGCUCAUGCUUGUGGAAGAAUUGGGCCAGCGUGACCGACGUGUCUUUCGGGCCACCAUCACGGUGCCGCUGCUCAAUCCGAAGAGCGAACAAGCAGCCCCAACGGCAGCAGCAGCGUUGGCCGCACCAGCAGUAGCGCCGGCUGCGGCGCCGGCUGUCGACGCCCGCUCGCCGCUUCCGUACACGCAGUCGUUUGUUGCGAUUGGUGUGUCCUACACGAAUCACCUUGCCGAGUUGGCUGCUGCCAUGCACGCACUGCGCACAUUGGGGGCACUGAAUCGCCUCUGCCUGGUGCGCGUCAACACUGCUGUGGCGCAGGCGCUGGAGUCCUUCGCAAUGCGGGCACAGAUCCCUCUCCACGACGCGGCACAGCCCAUGCUGCACCCGUCGCAGCUCCCCCCCGAGUCUCUCCCAGCACCGGUGAGGGUCAUGGAGGGCUUUGUGGGCCGUAUCACGGCUUCAGGCUGAACCUCAGAGAUCGUAAUCACUUGCCCAAGGACAUGGAUUCGGAGAAGGUGAGGGACCGCUUUGCAACCCGCGUCCCGCUGCUGUCGGAAGAAGCGGGAACGGCCGUGAACACGUUGAACCGCGAAGAGGACCUUUUGCGGGAGCUACGCGCACGUCAAGAGCGACUACCCCGCAUGCACUGGGACACGUCGCCAGACGCUGAUGGCCGCAUCAUCGUGUCGCCCGAUCAGGAUGCCAAGAUGAGCCGGAUGUACAAUCACACGCUCUCAUCCGUGCGCCAGCCUGACGUAAGGGCGACGAUUCGCUUACGUGACUACCUGGAGCGCCAUGGCAAGUCGCCCGAGAUGGCGCUGUCUGUUGUGCGGGUGUGUGGCAAUCAGGAACACGCAGAGAAGCGCGGACUGUAUGUAGCGAAGGUGUUGCUGCCCGUCACGCUGCGCCACCAGCCCAAAGCAAAGCGGCGGCCGCCUUCUACCGCCAGUAGUCAGACGAGCGCGCUGUCGUCAAGCGCCCCACCGUCGUCAGAGUCGCAGCAGCCGAGGCAAUCGCAGCUGCCAGAGUACGUAGCGCAAGGAGAGGGCCCCACCCGCGACGAUGCAGUUCUACUGUGCGCAGCGCACGCGGAGGCUCUGCUUGAUGCAGCAGGCCAGCCGUUCUACGACCAUUCACUCCUGCAGCGAAAGCACGCCGACACGGCGCGAGCGCUCGGGCGCUGGGCACCGCUGGUGCGCGGUGCAGCCUUGCCUCCAGAGUCACUCCGUCGCACGCCGCCGCCGCUGCGCAAGGUUACGUGCGAAAGUGGAGUGUGGGCUCGCCUCCAGGAACAGCGACGCGCCUCGGCAUGCGAGGCCGUGACGAGCGAGCCCGCUGGGCAUGCAACUGGCGUGCUGUCGCCGGCCUCGUCCACUCGCAGUCGACACGCGGGAACGACGGCGCCUGCCAGCGCUUCUGUUGUGGACGAUGAAGCGCUGUGUGAUAUUGCCGGUCUCCAAUUCGUCUACCACACGGACAUUACCCAAAGCGCGCUUCGCCAGGUGGCGGAGUACUUUUCGAAGAACGGUUCCGACAUUUAUCGGAUGGUGCGCCAGUACGUGGUGCGGCAUCCGGAGCUCGGGGUGAUACAUCGGGCUAUUGUGGAGAUGCCGUUGCCAGCGUCAUACGGUAAGCGGUACGCCGUUGGCUGUGCUUCUACGAAACGCCAUGCGCUUUUUCUCUGCUGCAGCCACGCCUUGCUCAUUUUGGAUGCCCUACAACUUCCCGUAUACACGGAGUAUGGCCGACAGCGAAGGUACGCGCGCGCGGCGGCUGUGAAGGGCCGCGAUGCGCCCCUUUCCGGCAAAGCCUGCGGAAAGAGUGACACGCCGUCUCCGCCAGGGCUCUACUAUCUCACCACAUGCGCCGCUGCCAGAGAAAAGCCUCCAGCCAUACCAAAGCUGCCCCUUCUCAGAGACCGCAAGAGCCUACCCCUGUGGGGUACCUUUGUGAAUCACUGUGCCUCGUACGUGACACGCAGGCGUGAGACGCGGGUGACAGAGGCAGUCAGUUCAGUAGGAGGCCCAAGGGUGCCUCGCUCAAACGUCGUUGCCGAGGACGCGACGUCGGAUAUAGCCGCUAGCACACCGAGCGACAAGUUUGCGCGGCGCCAACUAGCAGACUUGUGCCGCCUUGCUGGACUGCCUGACCCCACAGACGAUGUGCCGUCGAAGUCUGUGGCGCUCUCUUCAAACGAGCGGCGCUUCUUUACUUUCAAGGAGCUUACCGGGACACCGUACACGAUGCGCGGUGUCAGCGAUGCGUCUCCGGCAGAGAGUCGCCACCGCGCCUUUGGGCAGGGCAUCCAGCUCCUCCUCCUUGUCGUGCGUCCCAACAGCGACAGUGCGCCGACGCUGCGCCGCAGCUGGUGGGACGGGCAGCAGCGCACCUUGUGCAUCCACGAUUGCGUGAGGAAUCAAAUGACGCCGCACGGUUGUCUGUGGGUGCUGCGGAUGUGGGCCGCCAUGCACUACCCGCCCCUGUGUGUUCGCAUGAUGCUGCGGAAGGUGGAGCUGCCGACGGAAGAGGGGGGCAAAGUGGUCGCGUGUGCACACGACGCAGAUGUAGUGACGAACCCAGAGCUGACGCCGAGCCUGUCCGCGCCCGGCACGCCUUGCCCCCCUACUGACUAUCAGGGUGUAGCGUCUAUUGUCGAGUCCCGUGACGGCGUUGAAAAAGUGCUGUAUCAUGCUGCCUGUGAGACUGCCGGUCCCGCCGCCACCACCGCCGCUGAUUCUGUCCACAGAGCGCUUCGGCAGCUGCUCAGCGAUGUCCAGCGCAGGCCGACGAUGCAGACACUCUACCGUUUUCUGUCGAAGCAGCCGCAGCUGCACAUCCCGUCUAUUCGCGUGCUGGCCGAUCCCGAGGAUGUCGUGCAUCGAUUGCAUGCACUGGUGUGCAAAUCUCACGGCAGCGAGCGCAUCGUGCGGUCCGCCGAGCCACUGCAGGUAGGGCAUCUGGCGGUCCUGUUGACGCUCCUCCAGCAUGAUCAGCGACCGACCGCUUCGUUUUACAAAACAUGGCCUGUAGAGCUGCUACUGAAGUGGGUUGGCGCCGUCAGCAGCAGUACCCAAGGAUGGGCUACAUCGAAGGAUGAUGAGGCGGACUGCGGCCGAGCUCAGCGCGGAUGCCUUCCCUCGACGCUAGAGUCCACCUUUGUAAGCUACGGUCUCGCCCGCGCCGCGCCGUCCGCGAGGUCGGCAUUGCCGACACGCGCUACAAGCUCGCGCCUUCCUUCUCCGGUGGUACCCACGCCGCUCGCCGGCGCACUAGCGCUUCUGUGCCGGUGUCUUCCUCCACUCCCUGACGUGUUGAUCGGCGAGGAGGACGGAAAGAACACGGCGGCAGUGCAGGUAGCUGCAAACACGACGAGGCUGGCAGAGCGAGACCGUGAGCUGCCGCUGCAGCUGGCUCACCUGAUCCUCAUGGGACUUCUGCUAGGAUGUACCCCUUGGGCAGUGCGCGCGGCGGCGAUUGUGGCGUGUGCAGAGCACACAUUGGAGUGGUAUGACAAGCAGCAGGGGCUGUCUGCCGCUGCCGGUAACAACGACGCAACGGCAAUGACGCCGCCGCUGCCAGCCCCGCGCUUGGCGCCAUACGUCAGCGUGGACGUGACAGAGGCAGUGUUGGCUUCGCUGGACGCGACAGCUCCCCCUUUGCCCGAGACGGUGCUCCGCUACGCGUCGGAGGUGGAGCGGCGGCUGGAAGCCCUGUGGGUGGAGGCCUCCGCCUCGGCAGCUGCGGGGAAGGCGCCGCCUCUGCCGUGGCUGCCACCGCCAGAGGCGUGGGGCACGUGUCUAAGGAAAGCAGACGCGAGUAAGCAAACCCCUUCACCAGCAGCCGGUGUCCUCACACUGACCGAGCGCCGCAUUUUGCGCCCACUGCUGCAAUGCGCAGUUGCCACGUCAGCCGCCCCUCACGCGGUGUGGGUGCGUGCUACCCGCAUGGAGAAAGGAGGCGGCGCUGACGAGGUUUGCGGCGACGGUGCCGGCUGGUGUUGGGACGAGACAGAUGCGGAGGAGCAGCGUCUCGUCUUCCAGCACAGACAUGCUGCCCACUACGCUGCCGUGCGCGUAAGCAAUCACGACCUCACACAGGUCGAAACGCUCGAAUCGGCCAAUGGCAUCUCCGCGAUGGCGACAUGCUUUGCUGCCUUUGGCUGUGCUGUGUACCCCACCGAGCCGCUGGUGGCCUCGACAGUGGAGCAGGAACGGGCGUCUGCGUUGUUUCGUCUCUCGCGCGCCGAAGACGACUUCGAGGACGAGGCACAGGCGAACGAUGACGACGCGGACGACGCCGCAGAUGCUGCGCAUGACGACGAGGAGGGAGGAGAGGGGGAGGAGGAUGAGAAGUUGGACAGCCUCGACGACGACGUUGACGUUGGCCAGUUUGCGCGCGUCUUCGGGACGUGCGUCUCGCCGCUCGCCGCAGCGCUGGUAGCGUCGGCACCGACAAGGUCUGCAUCGCUGCAGUCGCACCGCUCAUAUACCCUACGCCCGAUGACGUGGCUGCUGGCGGCGCACUUCGUGCGGUUGGCGAAAACUUACCCGUGCUGAUGACGGCGUUUCAAGAAACGGUGCCGCUGCUCGUGCACCGUCGUAGCUCUGUGCCGCUGCUGUCAAGCCUUUCUGCGCACCUGCGUUCACGCGUGGAGACAACGACCCCGUUCUCGCCGGAGGAACGGCGGGCCAUUUCGCAGCUCUUUACCAUGACGGUGCGCACUGCGGCUGAUGAAGAGAGCCGCGGUGAUGAGGCGGCGUAGUGGCAGCCAGGCGUGGGGUGGUCCGAUGAGGGAUACGUGCAAAGGGAGCAGUGAAGAGUACCGCCGUCGUCGCCUCCCUUCUUCGCCGUGUACUAAUUUGGAUGCUUCUUCUUUUCAACAGCAGACACGCAGGCGUGCGUGCGCGCGGCCGCCCCUCCCCCUCCAUCUUCUCUGCCUCUCUUCACACACACACAAUAACCUUGAUGAAAAGGGAAGAAACAACGACACUCGAUGCAUGAGCGACGCAAAAGAGAAACGGCAACAACGGGGAAGACAUUUUGCAAAAUCAACUUGCUGCACACACGUGCGCGUGCGUACGUGCGCAACGCGUUCACUUCUUCCAUGCGUUUGACUGCACCCCCUCCCCCUUCCCGCCGCAGCGAUGGCUUGGAUGAAUCGAGACUUAGCGC
rnacentral:misc_RNA from 1 species